GACGAACGCUGGCGGCGUGCUUAACACAUGCAAGUCGAACGGAAAGGCCCUGCUUUUGUGGGGUGCUCGAGUGGCGAACGGGUGAGUAACACGUGAGUAACCUGCCCUAGACUUUGGGAUAACUUCAGGAAACUGGGGCUAAUACCGGAUAGGAGCUCCUGCUGCAUGGUGGGGGUUGGAAAGUUUCGGCGGGUGGGGAUGGACUCGCGGCUGAUCAGCUUGUUGGUGGGGUAGUGGCUUACCAAGGCUUUGACGGGUAGCCGGCCUGAGAGGGUGACCGGCCACAUUGGGACUGAGAUACGGCCCAGACUCCUACGGGAGGCAGCAGUGGGGAAUAUUGCACAAUGGGCGGAAGCCUGAUGCAGCAACGCCGCGUGCGGGAUGACGGCCUUCGGGUUGUAAACCGCUUUCGCCUGUGACGAAGCGUGAGUGACGGUAAUGGGUAAAGAAGCACCGGCUAACUACGUG
rnacentral:rRNA from 1 species